UACGUAGGCAGCAAGCGUUGUUCGGAAUUACUGGGCGUAAAGAGUGUGUAGGCGGUGCUCCAAGUCUGGUGUGAAGUCUCCCGGCUUAACUGGGAGGGUGCAUUAGAAACUGGAAUGCUAGAGGAUGGGAGAGGUAAGCGGAAUUCCUGGUGUAGCGGUGAAAUGCGUAGAUAUCAGGAGGAACACCUGUGGUGUAGGCAGCUUACUGGACCAUUUCUGACGCUGAGACACGAAAGCGUGGGUAGCAAACAGG
rnacentral:rRNA from 1 species